CUGCUCUGGAAAAGAGACAAAACACACAUAAUGUCACUCAAUCAUUUAAGACAAAAGUGAUUCACUCUAUUAUCUGUGCCCACUGUGCCCCGGGGAGCCAGUGAUGGACGAGAAGGUGUCAGUCCUCACGUCGCAGGUGUUCUAAUGAGGAGACUGAUGGUACGGAAACCAUGCAGCGAGAAUGCAUCUCGGUCCUAAAAAGUGCUGGAAGGAGACACGCAGGUUCCUCAUUUUUAAGAUGGGUAUAAUAAUGACAAUAACAGAGCUGUGAAGAAUAAAGAAAGUUCAUCAACAUAAAGCACUAAUAACAAUGUCUGGAAGGCACUGGAGCAACUGUGUUGAAUGCAGCUGAGAGUCUGUGUAAGUGGAUGCUCUGACCCACGCUAGGACAGUCUGAGCAGAAGCACAAAGAGACCCAAGACCCAGAUAUUCUUCGUUUCAGCUGUCCAGUCUAGACCUGUCCACUCUCUGCCUUGCAGCCUUCUCACAAGUUCUGUGACUCCGAGGUAGACUUUCAAGAAAAUCCCGUUGCUUUUGUUGGCUGGAGUAGGUUUCUGCCGCCUGCAGCUCAAGGACUGAGGUUGCCAUGGGUAUGGACCAGUUAGAGUCACUCCAGCUGGCUCUCAGGGCACGGGGCGCUUCUAGCUUGGAAGCAGAGUGAGUGUGCCCGUCCACAGGUCUGGCUGGAUUCCCUCGGACGCAUCUUAUGCCCACUUCAUGCUUCUACUUGCUGUCCUAAGGGGCGUAGUGCAAACGGCUUGACCUGGAGGCAGACCGAUGGGUUCAGGACCCAGCUCUCCUACUAAGUGUUGGUGGACGAUUUGCUUAACCGUCCUGUGAUUCAGCUUCUGCAUCUGCCAGACAGAAAUAGGAAUGCCUCCCCUCCAGGGCAUGAAGGGGACUAGAGAGGUUGCAGGUAAGCCCGCGGAGAAGAAUGGGGUCCCCAGUUGCUUGUUGUACAGUUAUUCAGCAGACGUGAAGGACAGUGAUGUGAUGAAGGCUCACGUGGGAUACUGGGAACCACACCGAGGCUGGGUUUGGAGACCUUUUUCCUGAGCCAGUGUGCACAACAGCCAAGUUCUGCUGGUGUCUUGGUUUUUUUUUUUUUAGCUUCUGUUUUAAAAAGUGGAUGAGUGCUGCUCAUUCUUCAAAAAGAAUACCAGUCAGAUGAUCCCCAACAUUUUGUUACGUUCUUUUAACGUCCUGAGCUUUGCUCACUUGUGCUUCACUGUUAAGGUCCUUUACUGGGGCGAGAAACUGGCAUGAACUCCUUCACUUUACAGUUUCAACUGGAGCUUUUCUGGGGGCCCAUGAAGUCCCUGAGAAUUUCCGCAAGUAACUCAUGAAACUGUCUUUUUUUUUUUUUUAACCUGAUGAAACAACACCUAAAAUUAAAUUCUCCCUCCUUCCUUUUUCAGAUCAUCUCCGAUUCUGAGAUUCCUUUAAUUAACAUCCUCACACUCCAGUACUAUAAAAAGAGCCCCAGUGUAUCUGUACCCGCUUCCUCCUUUCCUUCGCUUGGAAUCUUGAUAAGUUUUUCAUGUGCAGUAGAUUAAAAAAAAUUCACCUUCCUGCUUCUGAACACAUGAAGUCUUUUCUGCCAAUUGUCUUUAUUUUUUGGACCCAGAUCUUUGUGUGCUUUGUACCUAGUGUCUUCUGAGAGAAAAAAUGGAUUUUUAAAUUGUGGUAAUAAA